rnacentral:lncRNA from 1 species
CUUGCUUGAUGGCAUCGGCGUUUGCGUCACCGAGGGCAGCGGAAUUCAGGUAUUGCUCUGCAAGUUGGACUCGCUUCACGUUUUGCUGCUCUUGCACCAACAUUUGUCCAUACUCCAUCAGCUUCUCGAUGGUCAUGGCGGGCUUCUUGAAUUCCGGGGGGCCAUCCUUGGAGUUUACCAAGUUCUUUCCGAGGUUCUCCACUCCGGUUGCUGAAAUCCAGUUCCUAACCUCGUCGUCGUACACUCGGGCCCUCAAAGCGCCGAAGAAGUCUGCAUGCGGGAGAGAUAGGGUCAGUUUUUUCUGAGUUCUGAAGUUCGUAAUUAGUACCCAGAUCAUUCCGAAAUUGCGGUGUUAGAGGCAAAUGGGGGGUCGCUGGAAGCUCACCGAUGGAUUGCCCAGGAAACAUAUCGACCAUCUUGGUGACGUUGUCGUCGCUGAUGUUGUCCAAUCUGAAGAUACCCUUGCACACACCAAUUCUGUCCUCACGGGUGGGCGCCCAGUAGAACUUCUCCAUACGCCCAUCACGGAUCAGGGGUGCGUACAAAGUCGAGAAAUCGUUUCCGGUCACGAUGAUUGGCACACGAGGGAUCUCUUCCUUGUUGUACACUCCGGGCAGCUGCACGUUGGUGGGGCUGUCGGCGAUGUUCAUGAGGGUGGCGUUCACCAUCUGGUUGUUGACAGUGUAUUGGGUGGUACCUCCCAUACGUCCAGCACCAGCGUCGAGAUCGUUGAUGAAGAGACAGCACAUCUUACCCUUCUGGAUGAUGGCUGCAGCUUCCCUGUACCUCUGCCUGAUGAGCUUGGCGGGUUCUCCGGCGUUUCCAGACUCCAAUUCUCCAGCACUCAUCAUGAUAGGGCUGCAGACAUUGUCUUAAUUAAAUUUUGCCCCAGCGCCAUAGAGCAAAGUUUGAAAGUAACGAAGUCAUCGAAAUGUUUUACUCAAAGUAAGUGUCUGUGACAUGAAAGAAAACGGGAAACAAUAAGUUCAAACACAUGGAUAACCGAAAGUCGAUGGGACACGUCGAAAGUAUUUCACAUGGAAUCGCUACAACCGUUUGUCGGAAAGGUGAUUACCGCCAAGCGACCACCAGAAACAACGAAGUAACCAUCAAAAGCAGUGCAUGCUUUCACUUACUGGCACAUAGAGAUCUCGAAGGACAACGUAACGAGGCUGCUUAGCAACCCCCGUCCUGAACUGCAUAUCUUAAGGAACUCCUGAAGUAAGCAGAAGUUUUUACUCACUUGAUUCCGAGCUUCUUCAUGACCAGCUCACUCUGGAAAGACUUUCCCUGACCCUUACCACCCCACACGCCGAGGAUGAGAGGAACCUUAAUGCCCGGUAAGUUCAUGAAGUUCUUGCAGACGUGAAUCACCAGCUUGUCCAUGAAAGCAGGCGCAAUGUACAGCCCAUCACUCGUGUUGUCAAAGUUGUAACUGCACAAUUCGCAACAUCCGUCGUAGCACUUCUGUGAGCACUAGGAAUGACCAAGUUCUCAAGGCCCACUGCAUACCGCAAACUUGACUCAAGAACAGACAUGGUGCAAAACUAUCACAAAUUCGAGUAACAAGCAUAUUGUUAAGGAGAAGCCCGCGUACGUCCGUUGUGCAGUGCUAACGUAGUCCCAGGAGCUCAUGGUCACAACCUGGGUUCCGAGGCCCGUAGCGCCCUGGAAGAGGGCGUCCACCAUACCCUUCCCCCGCUGGAUGUCUUGCUGGUCAUCGGAGAUGUCAUUGCCGAGUCCAGCCCACCUGUCCACCUUCUUCUUCUCGCCCUCGGCCUCGCACACAACACGGCUCUUGCCCUUGGCGACGCCGAGGGUCACAUUUACGGAGACCUUGCUACUGCACCCGAACAGCGCAGAGCUUGGUAGAGUGCUCUUGCUAGUUGCCUGCGCACUAACUGAGGCCUGCACCUGCACUCCAACCAUGACAUGUUAGGAAUUUCCUAUUUAUGGUCACCACCAGACGCUGAGAUUCAAAAGGAAAUCACCCUCGGCUUAACACCGCUGCCAUGUAUCCUAAAUUGACAACGAUUACACAUAAGAACGAAAAGAACAACAACAACAACAACAACAACAGGUUGAGGAAGGAUGUCCGGAGAGAAGAGUACCUUCGCAACGGCGAUGGACUGCAUAACUGCGCAGCUGGAAGCCAUAAGGGCAGAUCGACUGAAGAUGCAAACCCAGCAAGAGCAGAACUAUUUUCUGAGACAACGCUGCUGAUCAACCUUCAUGCAAUCGAAUCCGAUUCUGAACUGCAGAUAGCGGCUCAGUAACCUUAUACCAAGUAGACAGCCUCCGAACGCGCGCCGUGUGGACAGAAAGGAGGAGGAGAUAGAACGCCAGGGCCAAUUGCGACAAAGCAACCCGCGGGGAGAUAUUUGCUUGGCUGCAAACCUCUUAAGCCACAGCAGUCGUCAGAUACCCGAACACAAAGUAAAUAACAGAAAUAAAAUUUACGGGGGAAAUAAAAACGGAAAGUAAAAGAAAUUCGCAACUGGGUAAUGGCAACAAUGUGGCAGAGUUCGCAGGAAUUGGCCGAGCACCGGAUAAGGCAAGCACAAUGCAAUUCUGCUGCACUUAGUGCCGCUAUCUCUCACUUCACCGCGACCACAAGCUGUGGCGAAUGUGGGUCCCGCAAAGUGGCGCUUGUGCUCUUUUUGGGGUAUUAAUUCUUCAAGUCCAGGCAGGCAAUCGAUGCAAGCGAGGCGCGAUGCUCCCGUUCACUCAUUCAUUCAGUCAGUCACUCAGUAAAUGGAGGCUCAUGGACGAGAGGGUGAGUUCCAGAGUCUCACUCGUCCGUUCCGCCAUCGCCCAACUUGACCCCGCAUCGAUUGCUCCGUUGUGGAGAGUGUGCUGGAGAGAAAGAGGGAGGGAGAUGAUGGAAAGCUUCAGGAAUAAAAGUAUUCUCAAGCUUUUUCCCCAGACAUUUUCCCCAAUAGUAUUUUUAUUUUUAUUUUUUGGGAUUCCAAUCUCACAUUUAACUUUUGUAAUGGUGAUUUUUUUAAUUAGAUGGUAAUAUUAAAAUAGAAUUGGAAUUUUGACAUCUUUUUAGUUUGAUGGUUGUACAAUAUUUGGUGUUAUUACAUCCAAAUCUUAUUACUUUUCAAUUUGUUUGUCGUUGUUAUGCAUGCUUCUAAAGUCAUGUUUUAAACAAGAUGGUAAUAACAAAAUUGGAUUUUUUGCAUCCAAUUCUUGAUUAGUUUUUAUUUAUUUAUAAUUAUUGUGCAUAUUUUUAAUGUCAUGUUUGAUAUAAAUAAAAAUUGAUUUUAAUUAUUUAGUAAAGACUUUUUAGGAUUAGUAAUUAUAUAACCAUUGAUUACAAAACGAAAAUUCUAUUACAUUUAAUUAAAAUUUAACAAUAUAAUUAUGGAAGACAUUGAUUUUUAAACAAAAUAUAAAAAAUUACAAUAUUGUGUGCAAAAAAAACAUAAUUUAUUGAUAUUCUUAUUAUAUUUUGUUGAAAUAUUUAAUAAAAUGGAGAAUAAGACACAUAAAUUAAAACAUCUUUAAUUUUCUUUUGUUACGUAAGAUCCAAAUAAUCAAAUUGUUAUGAACUGUUUGAGUUGUUAAAAAAAUCUGACUUUAAAAUGCAAUUGAAAAAGCACUUAUCACAUUUGGAAUUUUAAAUUAGCUAUCUACAAAGUAUUAAACUUAUACGAUAUGUUGUUGUAGUACGAAAUGGAAUUACUGAUUAGUAAUAAAACAAUUAUUCACUAAAGAAUUUAAUGAAUAUGCAAUUGAACUAAAUAAUCCAUGUACUACUGAGUCGCUCACGCUGGUUAUACUUACGCAAAUUUUGAAAACAACUUUGCUGAAGUAACAAUGUUUUCAUGAUUUCAGCGGAACAGUUACAUACAUACUAUCGUUUAUUGGAACAAACCACAUUAUCCACUUCAACAAUUUCUUCAUUUUAGCAAUUACACUUUGUAGGCAGUCAUCAACUACAACAAGAAAAAUCUCAUGAUCACAGACAAGCCGCAAUCUUUUUACAGUCUACACAAACUAUUUUUCCAAUGUAUAUGUAUAUAUGUAUGCACACAUUGUUGUGUACCGAAGUAGUUUCGGUUCAAAAUCUAUUCAGUGAAUGGUACAAAAUAGGUCACUGUAUGAGUGAAAACAACCGUUCUCAAUUGAACUGGAACAGACACUGGAAGAUUAUUUCUAUUUGUUCACAAACACAUUUCUAUUUGUAUUCAUACAGAGGUUAUAUUGACUGCUUUUCAUUAGUUCAUUAGUUGCGUUUAAAAUUAUGGAGUAAAUUUAGGUAUGAUCGCGCAGAGGGUAUAAAUUUAUUCCGCUGUAUUCUCUGAACAAAUCAUGCAGCUCCACUAGCAUUCAGUAUACAUUCAGUGAUGAUCGUUAGUAUUCACCGUUUUCAACAAAGAGAAAGUAAAAAUUAACUCAAAAAGAGGUGUGUUGCCGACGAUGAACAUUCUGAGAGGAGAAUGACAAGACAUAAGUCAAUGUGUAGUUGUAAAGCAAGACAACAUCGCAGGCAGCGAUGAGAGAAGUUGCACACAACCAUGACAUAGCGACACAAACAUGAGGUGAUUCAAAAAUCAGUUGUAUUAGGAUCACACACUCCGCCUGCAAGUGCCAGGCGUAAAAGUGCCUCUGCUGGAAACGACACCGCUACGCGAUGUCAUUGAGCUAAUUCACAGCAAAUACAUUUUGGUACAGAAUGGACACCUCCAGCUGCAGAAUGGGCACUCCAUUUCAGUGCGAGGACUGGGAACAGGGAGAUAUGGCAAUCCUUCACUUUCAUGCACGCAGGAUCACUUCAACACACCCAAGGCACUAGAUUCCACAGGACGCUGAGAUCAGUGCUAGUCUCAUGUCCUGGACACUUUGCAUCUCUAUUCCUUCGCUUGCCUUCGCCACGCCUCUCUGCCCACCGCGCCGCGGCGGUUCCUCUACUGGGACGCUGGAGCUUGGCCUCCGGCGUAGAAAGUUCCUUGCUUGAUGGCAUCGGCGUUGGCAUCUCCCAGUGCGGCGGAAGACAGAUAUUGUUCGGCGAGCUGUACACGCUUUACGUUCUGUUGCUCCUGCACCAACAUUUCUCCGUACUCCAUCAGCUUCUCGAUGGUCAUGGCGGGCUUCUCGAAGGUUGGGGGUCCGUUCUUGGAGUUCACCAAGUUCUUUCCGAUGUUCUCCACUCCCGUACCUGCGAUCCACUUCCUCACCUCGUCGUCGUACACACGCGCCCUCAGGGCACCGAAGAAAUCUGAGUUACGAGAUAGUUCAGGUUAGAAUUCAGUCGAAGCCACAGUUUCAAUAAAUUAAUAUUAAACCAGCAUCAUCCAGCUGAACGCGAGAAUCAGUAGGGCCUUUUAUUACAUACCGAU